ensembl:lncRNA
CAGGUAUUUAUUUACACAACAAAAACUGUAUAAAGUGUUACAAUGUAAAAAUAAAAAAAAAAGACAUUCUGUACAAAAUAUCAUGGUUAGAGAAAGGUCAAUGUUAGAGAUGGUUACAAUCGCAAAGGUCAAUAUGACUGUACUGGUGUUUUUGUGGUAUGAAACAUAUUAAGAGACACGAGGCUACUGUUUGAACACUGUCGUAAUGCUGCAGGUAGCCUAGCGGUCAGAGUGUUGGGCAGGUAACCGAAAGGUCGCUGGUCUGAAUACCGGACCUGAGUAGGUGAACAAUCUGUUGCUGUGCCCUUGAGCAAGGCACUUAACUGUAAUUGCUAAUUGUACAAUGGGGACCCCACUCUCGGAGGAAGUUGGGAUAUGGUGACCCUGACCGUGACCCCACUCCCUGCGGGUGUGUCUGGGGGAGUUGGACAUGGUGACCCUGACCGUGACCCCACUUCCUGGGGGUGUCUCAGGGGGAGUUGGGAUAUGGUGACCCUGACCCCAAACCCUGCGGGUGUCUCAGGAUAUGGUGACCCUGACCGUGACCCCACUUCCUGGGGGUGUCUCAGGGGGAGUUGGGAUAUGGUGACCCUGACCAUGACCCCACUCCCUGCAGGUGUGUCAGGGGAGUUGGGACAUGGUGACCCUGACCGUGACCCCACUUCCUGGGGGUGUCUCAGGGGAGUUGGGAUAUGGUGACCCUGACCAUGACCCCAAACCCUGCGGGUGUCUCAGGAUAUGGUGACCCUGACCGUGACCCCACUUCCUGGGGGUGUCUCAGGGGAGUUGGGAUAUGGUGACCCUGACCAUGACCCCACUCCCUGCAGGUGUGUCAGGGGAGUUGGGACAUGGUGACCCUAACCCCAAACCCUGCGGGUGUCUCAGGAUAUGGUGACCCUGACCGUGACCCCACUUCCUGCAGGUGUCUCAGGGGAGUUGGGAUAUGGUGACCCUGACCCCACUCCCUGCGGGUGUCUCAGGAUAUGGUGACCCUGACCCCACUUCCUGGGGGUGUCUCAGGGGGAGUUGGGAUAUGGUGACCCUGACCGUGACCCCACUCCCUGCGGGUGUCUCAGGGGGAGUUGGGAUAUGGUGACCCUGACCGUGACCCCACUCCCUGCGGGUGUCUCAGGGGGAGUUGGGAUAUG